ACCCGCUGAAUUUAAGCAUAUAACUAAGCGGAGGAGAAGAAACUAACAAGGAUUCCCCUAGUAAGGGCGACUGAAGCGGGAUCAGCCCAGAUUGUAAACUGACCUUAAAUACAAGGUUGGGUUGUAGUCUAAAGAGGCGACGCCAGGCAAGGUCCGGGGAGAAGUCCCUUGGAACAGGGCAUCGGAGAGGGUGACAAUCCCGUCUGUGCCUCGGACCGCGUCGUACGGUGCGUCUUCGACGAGUCGGUUUGCUUGGGAUUGCAGACCAAACGGGUGGUAAAUUCCAUCUAAGGCUAAAUACGGGUGGGAGACCGAUAGCGAACAAGUACCGUGAGGGAAAGAUGCAAAGAACUUUGAAAAGAGAGUUAAAAAGGGCCUGAAACUGGUAAGAGGGAACCGAACGGCAGAAGUGGUGAUGGGCGCGUAUUUUCCGCCGGGCUCUUGGCCGGCGUACUUGUGCGCGUCCGUAGGUCAGCGUGGGUUGGGGCGUGGGAGUCGUUCAUGGGAAGGUCUUCGGACCAAUCUCGUGUUCAGGCCGCGCCUGAGACCUUCGGUGACGAAAUUCUUCCGUUCACCCCGUCUUGAAACACGGACCAAGGAGUCUAAAAUACGAGCGAGUGCGCCGGUGGCAACCCGGGGCGCGUAAUGAAAGUGAGACCGACGGUGGGAGGGCUUUACGUCCGCACCAUCAACCGACCAGGAUCCUUCGGGUGAAAGGUUUGAGUGUAGCUUGUAUUUUGGGACCCGAAAGAUGGUGAACUAUGCCUGAAUAGGGCGAAGCCAGGGGAAACUCUGGUGGAGGCUCGUAGCGAUUCUGACGUGCAAAUCGAUCGUCAAAUUUGGGUAUAGGGGCGAAAGACUAAUCGAACCAUCUAGUAGCUGGUUCCCUCCGAAAUUUCCCUCAGGAUAGCAGCAAUCGAAGAGUUUUAUCAGGUAAAGCGAAUGAUUAGAGGCCUCAGGGGUGGAACGUCCUUGACCUAUUCUCAAACUUUAAAUGGGUAAGAGCCAGGGGUUGCUUAAGUGAACCCCUCGGUCGGAUCGCGGUUGCUAGUGGGCCACCCGGGGUAAGCUCGGUUGGCGAUGCGGGAUGAUCCGAACGUCGAGUUAAAGUGCCUCACUGCCCGCUCACCUAGAUCCCACAAAAGGUGUUGGUUCAUUUAGACAGCAGGACGGUGGCCAUGGAAGUCGGAACCCGCUAAGGAGUGUGUAACAACUCACCUGCCGAAUGGAUUAGCCCUGAAAAUGGAUGGCGCUGAAGCGAGCGACUUAUACUCGACCAUCACGGCAAGUGCGACGCCGUGAUGAGUAGGAGGGCGUGGGGCUCGUGGCGCAUCCCGCGGCGUGAGCCGGGGUGAAACGGGCUCUAGUGCAGAUCUUGGUGGUAGUAGC
rnacentral:rRNA from 1 species